rnacentral:rRNA from 1 species
AGGAAACACUCCUUCCCAUUCCGAACAGGAAAGUUAAGCUCUACAGCGCCAAUGGUACUGCACGGGAGACUGUGUGGGAGAGUAGGACGUUGCCA